GCAGAGCAACUAUUCAUCAUAUCCAUGCUAGAGUUUUAUUUAGAUAUAGAUUAGCAUAGCCACUUUAUUUAUUUAUUAAACACACUAAGCAAAAGAUAUAUAUAUAUAUAUAAGCAUAAAAUCUUUAUUUGGUUUUCCAUAGUUAUGUAUUUUAAUAUUCUAAUAUAAUAUAAGUAUAAAGAUAGAUAGAAAUACUUAUCGAGAUAAAUGGGGGUGCUCUCCCCCAAGCUGAAUUUUGACGUAAUUUCUCUUGAUGUAGCUAGCAGGUGGCAGAGGUGUAUUUGAAAGUCAGCAACAUUCUGACAGCGAUUAGAAUGUCCUCCGUCUGCUAGUCUUCUUGAUUCUCAAAAUCUGUGGAGCUCAAAUAGACAACAAAGCUUGUGGAACUUGAUUAAGUGUUAGCAUAAAUAUCUAGCCUUUAUCAUGUUGAGACUCCUUAAUAAUUAUUACUCCCUGUUUUUAUAUUUUCAUUUUUAUAGAGCAGAAAAGAAAUAUUUAUUUUAUUUUUAUGCCACCAGAGUGAAUGUACUUAUGGGUUUUAUGCCACUCGUCUACUCACAUGGGGCUUACUAGUUUUCACAUUUUUAUUUUCUUUUUAGGAUAGCACGAACAUGAUUAACUAAGUAAACUAGUUGAAAUAAUUGAAAGGGAAAUGAUAACUACCAAGUUUACCUCUUGGCAAGGCGUUCGGUGUUUUUAAGUCCUCCGAACGGGACUUUCCUCUUUCUCAAUUGUCCUGGGAUUCGUUGGGUGGCGUAGUUGUUGACGGUCCUUAAGUAUCAAAUUUAAUUAUCAAAUAAAUAAAGAAAAGGAUCCAAAUGAAAUCAAGAUCUAGACUUAGGGUUUUAUCUGACAGAAUUCCACGAGUUUUGGUGUUUGUCUAUUUCUGCAGGGGGUUAUCAGGAAAUAUGGAAGAAAGGCCCACACGUCGGGAUUACGUAAAGAUAUUAACGUGCUGUGCAAUUAUCUUACAUCUAGAAGACUCCAGAAGCCACGAGACCGAAGCGGAGGCAAAACGGGGCCAGAGACAGGG
rnacentral:lncRNA from 1 species